rnacentral:rRNA from 1 species
GGACGAACGCUGGCGGCGUGCUUCAUACAUGCAAGUCAAACGAGAAGCUGACUUCGGUCAGUGGAAAGUGGCGGACGGGUGAGUAAUGUGUAGAGAAUCUGCCCUUUAGUGGGGGACAACAGUUGGAAACGACUGCUAAUACCCCAUAUGCGCGUACUUGAGAUAGUAUUCGUGAAAACUCCGGUGCUAAAGGAUGAGUCUGCAUCUGAUUAGCUAGUUGGCGGUGUAAUGGACCACCAAGGCGACGAUCAGUAGCUGGUUUGAGAGGAUGAUCAGCCACAAUGGGACUGAGACACGGCCCAUACUCCUACGGGAGGCAGCAGUAGGGAAUUUUGCGCAAUGGGGGAAACCCUGACGCCUGCAACGCCGCGUGAUUGAAUAAGCCCUUCGGGGUGUAAAGAUCUGUCAGUGGGGACGAAACUUGACGGUACCCACAGAGGAAGCAUCGGCUAACUCCGUGCCAGCCGCUGC